UAUUAAUAGCCUGGGUGCAGAUCAGACAUGGAAGGGGAAAGCAAGAGAUUAGAGUGAUCCAUAAUAAGAAAUCUGUAGAGGAACUACAACUCUCGACUGUAAAUAGACACUGAGUGACAGCAGGCAUACAACAGUACACCAUCCAGGAACGUGCAUGGUGUGUGGAAAAUAAUUUCUGAAGUUACAGGACAGCAAGGAAUGGUGGGCUUUCCCUGGCUUCCGUAGCAACCGGGUUCUAGGACAACUUCCAAAGACCUGCACCGCCAAACAAAACUAUCCUGCCUUGGGUUGAAAUGUUCCUGGAAAAAAGGGUCCGUGGCUAAUCAUAAUAAAUUAUGUGUCGGCAGACCCUGCAGCACCACGAGCAAUGACAAUGUCGGGCGUGUGAUGGACAAGGUGCUGUGUGAGGACGGAAAAACAGUUUGUUACUUUUUUUUUUUUUAUAAACACCCUGCAUAUAUUACAGGCAUAAAAAGAAAGCUCCUAUAGUAAAUCCCAUAAAGUAAAACCCACACAUAAGAGCAAAUAAAAAGUCCACAUGAAACAAA